rnacentral:rRNA from 1 species
UACGGAGGGUGCAAGCGUUAUCCGGAUUCACUGGGUUUAAAGGGAGCGUAGGUGGGCUGGUAAGUCAGUGGUGAAAUCUCCGGGCUUAACUCGGAAACUGCCGUUGAUACUAUCAGUCUUGAAUGUUGUAGAGGUAAGCGGAAUAUGUCAUGUAGCGGUGAAAUGCUUAGAUGUGACAUAGAACACCGAUAGCGAAGGCAGCUUGCUACACAAUUAUUGACACUGAGGCUCGAAAGCGUGGGGAUCAAACAGG